CUUAUCUGAGCCUAAGAGAAAAUUUCAGACAUAGGUAGGGAUGAGGAUGGGGAGAGUCGGACUAGCAGCCAGGUCCUAGCCCAUUUCCUUGCCUAUCUGAGGGCCAGGCUGACAAUCCAGCUGCAGAUGCACCCCCCCACACACACACACACCAGCCAUCAACCCAGCCCCCCACAAUCCGCUGGUCUCCAAGCAACAGCACAAAGAGAAAGUGGAGAGAGGGGCGCAGGAGGCCCAGGCAGAGCUGGCUGUAACCCAAUCCAACCUAGUACCUGGGGGGGUGGGAGGGGAGCUGUCCCAGAAAGUGGCAGAGGGGAGAGAAAGAACCGAGGGCUAAGCUAGAACAGCUCUGGCCAAUCCGGGAGUUACCGAGGAAAGAUGGGUAUCACCGGCCCCAGAGAAAAUGGAGAGGCACAGAGGAAAAUAUGGGGGCGACAUCCAUGAAGUCCUGCUCCGACUCAGAACCAGCCAGGAUUUGAUGGGGAGAGGCCCAGAAUACAGCUGUCCCAGUCCUCAUCUUGACCCCUCCUUGGACCAAGGACCCUUUAGGAAUCUGAAAAAAACACUUUCAACCCCUAUUCACACCAACAGAUACACAGUCUCUUGGAAUUUACCUGGGUUCUCAGGCCAGGCUCACUGUUGAGGGCAGGGGCAACAUGGACCCCACCUGGCCAGGGAGGGCCGGGCAGUGCCCCAUGGUGGCCACACUGCUCUUCCUCUUCCUGCGCCCCCCCCUGCAGCUCUGCUCUCCAGGUACCCGUCGUCUCCCCUCAUAAAGACCACAGUAACACUACUCAGACACAACAAUGCACUGUGAUUCAGACUUUAA